CCUACGGGUGGCAGCAGUGGGGAAUAUUGCACAAUGGGCGCAAGCCUGAUGCAGCCGUGCCGCGUGUGUGAAGAAGGCCUUCGGGUUGUAAAGCACUUUCAGCGGGGAGGAAGGCGGUGAGGUUAAUAACCUCAUCGAUUGACGUUACCCGCAGAAGAAGCACCGGCUAACUCCGUGCCAGCAGCCGCGGUAAUACGGAGGGUGCAAGCGUUAAUCGGAAUUACUGGGCGUAAAGCGCACGCAGGCGGUCUGUCAAGUCGGAUGUGAAAUCCCCGGGCUCAACCUGGGAACUGCAUUCGAAACUGGCAGGCUAGAGUCUUGUAGAGGGGGCUAGAAUUCCAGGUGUAGCGGUGAAAUGCGUAGAGAUCUGGAGGAAUACCGGUGGCGAAGGCGGCCCCCUGGACAAAGACUGACGCUCAGGUGCGAAAGCGUGGGGAGCAAACAGGAUUAGAUACCCCUGUAGUC
rnacentral:rRNA from 1 species